rnacentral:rRNA from 1 species
GAUGAACGCUGGCGGCGUGCUUAACACAUGCAAGUCGAACGGAAAGGCUCCUGCUUGCAGGGGUACUCGAGUGGCGAACGGGUGAGUAACACGUGGGUGAUCUGCCCUGCACUUCGGGAUAAGCCUGGGAAACUGGGUCUAAUACCGGAUAGGACCACAUUUUGGAUGGUGUGGUGGAAAGUUUUUCGGUGUGGGAUGAGCUCGCGGCCUAUCAGCUUGUUGGUGGGGUAAUGGCCUACCAAGGCGUCGACGGGUAGCCGGCCUGAGAGGGUGUACGGCCACAUUGGGACUGAGAUACGGCCCAGACUCCUACGGGAGGCAGCAGUGGGGAAUAUUGCACAAUGGGCGCAAGCCUGAUGCAGCGACGCCGCGUGGGGGAUAACGGCCUUCGGGUUGUAAACUCCUUUCGCUAGGGACGAAGCGCAAGUGACGGUACCUGGAGAAGAAGCACCGGCUAACUACGUG